ensembl:lncRNA
UCAAGUCAAUCAUGUGGACAUGUUUCAUUAUUCAUUGAACACAAUCUUUUACAACGCUCCGUUUACGUGCCCGAGUUUGCUCCCGACGCCCGCGUUUCAGUGUUUAAGUUCCUGAUCACCGCGGCUUUAAGACUCUCCUUCAGCCACGAGGGAGCCCCAUUGCCUUCAGCCUUGCCUGGUAAAGGACCAUUGUUUUGUAGUUUAUUGAAGAGGUGUCUGCCUAAGCCUGGUAGGGAGGCCAGAGUGUCCUUGUUGGGGGGUGGGCCCCUGUGCUGGGUAAAGGUUCUCCCUGCUACUCCUUGGCCUCCAGGGACAGAGGUUGGGCUUUGGCAAAGCUUCCAGAUUCCAAGGUCUCUGGGAUGCAGCGUGAGCCCCGGAUCUUCUGGGUGGGAUGACAGUGGUGUCAAGACGUGCUCCGAAGGUCUCAGAAGGGGUCCCGGGUGGGGCAGAGCCCUGGGAGGUUGGCUGCUUUCUCGCCCAUGUGACAUCCUGAAGAGUCCCUGUCCCCACCACUCGCCACGUGGUUCUGUGACUCGGCCCAGGCUUGGAGGACCCUGUCUCCGAGGGGCUCCGUGCCUGCCAUCUCGAUGGGACUCGGGAGAUCACAAAAGCCAUCAUGGAAUGUUUUCCCCCACGUUGACUAAAAACUUACAAUAAAACACAGAGGCAGGGCUGGUGCCCGUAUUUGAUGUCUGCAGCCACCUCCUCUGAGGCUGCCCCCCGGUAUCUCUGUACACGCGCCCUCAGAUCUAAUUAGCCAGACCCACCUUCUCUGACCACAGGCCUCGGAGGUCACUACAUAAACCGGGGAAAUUGAUAGUGGAAUUAUGCACUUAGAAAUUAAUUUUGCAUUGGACGGAAUAUAUAUUUUUUUAUUGUGACUUUAUCUUGUUGGAGAAGUGCUUACCUUCUGAUUUUGUGGAUAUUACGGACCGUGGAUUACUUUUAUUUUGGUUUUUACACAACAGUUAUAUUAGAAAUUUGCUGUUUUAUUCUUACCUUCUUAGUAAAAAUCCUUUUAUCACACAAUGGGUAAUUUAUAUCCAUUACCAGGCCUUUCAAUCCUUUUCAGUGGGGCUGUCAGCGCCGUUGGCACAGUAAUGAUUAAUGUGAUCUAAUAAUAGUGUGCCAUUAUAUUACCUUAGUAAAACAUGUACCAACAUCCUAUUCGGAUCUACCAAAUUCAUAGCUUCCUAUAAUAUUUUUGUUGAAAGACAGGAUUACUAUUUUUCAAAGCUGAUUUUUUCCCCUUUAACAUAUUUAAUGAAAUUCACAAUUCUUUGCCUUAGUAAUCCGGGCAUUUGAUUGGCCUCGGUGGGUGCAUUUGACAUCUGUAGGCACUGUUGUGAUUUGUCAGGGAGAGGUUGGAAAAUGGCAGGGAUCUGCCAGAGAGAUUAUUGUGUUUUUGUUGGGCCUGGGUUGUUUGGCCUUGAAGGAAAAAAAAAAAAAAUUGCUGGAUUUCCAGUCCCUUCUGACAUGUAAUAAGGAAAGUGUGUUUUAGAUCAAAAGGCAAAAGAGCAAGUAAUUUGGCUCAAUGGCUCCUCUCUCCCCGUCCCUGUUUCAUCCUCUCUUGUCACCUGCCUCGGUCUGCUGGUGAACAGGAGGGGCUGCACAGCCAAGCGGGAGCAGCCUCAGACCCCUUCCCCAGAAAUAUUCC